rnacentral:rRNA from 1 species
CAUGCAAGUCGAACGCUGAAGACCUGGCUUUUGUUGGGUCGGAUGAGUGGCGAACGGGUGAGUAACACGUGAGUAACCUGCCCUCUUCUUUGGGAUAACGCCCGGAAACGGGUGCUAAUACUGGAUAUUCACUGGCCUUCGCAUGGGGGUUGGUGGAAAGGUUUGUUCUGGUGGGGGAUGGGCUCGCGGCCUAUCAGCUUGUUGGUGGGGUGAUGGCCUACCAAGGCUUUGACGGGUAGCCGGCCUGAGAGGGUGACCGGUCACAUUGGGACUGAGAUACGGCCCAGACUCCUACGGGAGGCAGCAGUGGGGAAUAUUGCACAAUGGGCGAAAGCCUGAUGCAGCGACGCCGCGUGAGGGAUGGAGGCCUUCGGGUUGUAAACCUCUUUCGCUCAUGGUCAAGCCGCAACUGUGGGUUGUGGUGAGGGUAGUGGGUAAAGAAGCGCCGGCUAACUACGUGCCAGCAGCCGCGGUAAUACGUAGGGCGCGAGCGUUGUCCGGAAUUAUUGGGCGUAAAGGGCUUGUAGGCGGUUGGUCGCGUCUGCCGUGAAAUCCUCUGGCUUAACUGGGGGCGUGCGGUGGGUACGGGCUGACUUGAGUGCGGUAGGGGAGACUGGAACUCCUGGUGUAGCGGUGGAAUGCGCAGA